rnacentral:rRNA from 1 species
UACGUAGGGUGCAAGCGUUGUCCGGAAUUAUUGGGCGUAAAGAGCUCGUAGGCGGUUUGUCGCGUCGGAUGUGAAAACUUGGGGCUCAACCCCAAGCCUGCAUUCGAUACGGGCAGACUAGAGUUCGGUAGGGGAGACUGGAAUUCCUGGUGUAGCGGUGAAAUGCGCAGAUAUCAGGAGGAACACCGAUGGCGAAGGCAGGUCUCUGGGCCGACACUGACGCUGAGGAGCGAAAGCGUGGGGAGCAAACAGG